rnacentral:rRNA from 1 species
UACGUAGGGGGCAAGCGUUGUCCGGAUUUACUGGGCGUAAAGAGCGCGUAGGCGGAGAUCUAAGCGUGGCCUGAAAGCCCCCGGCUCAACCGGGGAGUGCGGCUGCGAACUGGGUUUCUUGAGGACGAUAGAGGAGAGUGGAAUUCCUGGUGUAGCGGUGAAAUGCGUAGAUAUCGAGAGGAACACCUGCGGCGAAGGCGGGUUGCUGGGCUGACACUGACGCUGAUGCGCGAAAGCUAGGGGAGCGAACGGG